rnacentral:rRNA from 1 species
CCUACGGGGGGCUGCAGGCGCGGUAAUACGGAGGAUCCGGGCGUUAUCCGGAUUUAUUGGGUUUAAAGGGUGCGCAGGCGGGGAUUUAGGUCGGCGGUGAAAUUUCGGGGCUCAACCUCGAUAGUGCCGUUGAAACCGUUUCUCUUGAGUGCGGAUGAGGUAGGCGGAAUUUGUGGUGUAGCGGUGAAAUGCGUAGAUAUCACAAGGAACACCGAUUGCGGAGGCAGCUUACUAAACCGUUACUGACGCUCAUGCACGAAGGCGUGGGGAUCAAACAGGAUUAGAUACCCUAGUAGUC